rnacentral:rRNA from 1 species
UACGAAGGGGGCUAGCGUUGCUCGGAAUCACUGGGCGUAAAGGGUGCGUAGGCGGGUCUUUUAAGUCAGGGGUGAAAUCCUGGAGCUCAACUCCAGAACUGCCUUUGAUACUGAAGAUCUUGAGUUCGGGAGAGGUGAGUGGAACUGCGAGUGUAGAGGUGAAAUUCGUAGAUAUUCGCAAGAACACCAGUGGCGAAGGCGGCUCACUGGCCCGAUACUGACGCUGGAGGCACGAAAGCGUGGGGAGCAAACAGGGA